AUCUAUACAGUGAAACUGCGAAUGGCUCAUUAAAUCAGUUAUCGUUUAUUUGAUAGUACCUUACUACUUGGAUAACCGUGGUAAUUCUAGAGCUAAUACAUGCUAAAAACCUCGACUUCGGAAGGGGUGUAUUUAUUAGAUAAAAAACCAAUGCCCUUCGGGGCUCCUUGGUGAUUCAUGAUAACUUAACGAAUCGCAUGGCCUUGUGCCGGCGAUGGUUCAUUCAAAUUUCUGCCCUAUCAACUUUCGAUGGUAGGAUAGUGGCCUACCAUGGUUUCAACGGGUAACGGGGAAUUAGGGUUCUAUUCCGGAGAGGGAGCCUGAGAAACGGCUACCACAUCCAAGGAAGGCAGCAGGCGCGCAAAUUACCCAAUCCCGACACGGGGAGGUAGUGACAAUAAAUACUGAUACAGGGCUCUUUUGGGUCUUGUAAUUGGAAUGAGUACAAUUUAAAUCCCUUAACGAGGAACAAUUGGAGGGCAAGUCUGGUGCCAGCAGCCGCGGUAAUUCCAGCUCCAAUAGCGUAUAUUAAAGUUGUUGCAGUUAAAAAGCUCGUAGUUGAACCUUGGGCCUGGUUGGUCGGUCCGCCUCGCGGCGUGCACUGAUCCGACCGGGCCUUUCCUUCUGGGGAACCGCAUGCCCUUCAUUGGGUGUGUUGGGGAUCCAGGACUUUUACUUUGAAAAAAUUAGAGUGUUCAAAGCAGGCAUAUGCUCGAAUACAUUAGCAUGGAAUAAUAGAAUAGGACGUGUGGUUCUAUUUUGUUGGUUUCUAGGACCGCCGUAAUGAUUAAUAGGGAUAGUCGGGGGCAUCAGUAUUCCGUUGUCAGAGGUGAAAUUCUUGGAUUUACGGAAGACUAACUACUGCGAAAGCAUUUGCCAAG
rnacentral:rRNA from 1 species